UUAAGUUCAGCGGGUAUCCCUACCUGAUCCGAGGUCAAACUUGGGGUUGUCUUGAUGGACGCCCGUGCGAUCGGUUCGCGAGGCGCGAUUUGCUGCGCUCGAAGCCAAUAACACAGGCCGCCAAUGUUUUUGAGGCGAGUCCGCGCCCGAGGCGGGACAAACGCCCAACACCAAGCAGUGCUUGAGGGUUUAGAUGACGC
rnacentral:misc_RNA from 1 species